AACGAACGCUGGCGGCAGGCUUUACACAUGCAAGUCGAACGGUAACAGGCCGCAAGGUGCUGACGAGUGGCGAACGGGUGAGUAAUGCAUCGGAACGUGCCCAGUCGUGGGGGAUAACGCAGCGAAAGCUGCGCUAAUACUGCAUACGAUCUAUGGAUGAAAGCGGGGGACCGUAAGGCCUCGCGCGAUUGGAGCGGCCG
rnacentral:rRNA from 1 species